rnacentral:rRNA from 1 species
AACGAACGCUGGCGGCAUGCCUAACACAUGCAAGUCGAACGAGACCUUCGGGUCUAGUGGCGCACGGGUGCGUAACGCGUGGGAACCUGCCCUUAGGUUCGGAAUAACUCCCCGAAAGGGGUGCUAAUACCGGAUAAUGUCUUCGGACCAAAGAUUUAUCGCCUUUGGAUGGGCCCGCGUUGGAUUAGCUAGUUGGUAGGGUAAAAGCCUACCAAGGCGACGAUCCAUAGCUGGUCUGAGAGGAUGAUCAGCCACACUGGGACUGAGACACGGCCCAGACUCCUACGGGAAGCAGCAGUGGGGAAUAUUGGACAAUGGGCGAAAGCCUGAUCCAGCAAUGCCGCGUGAGUGAUGAAGGCCUUAGGGUUGUAGAGCUCUUUUACCCGGGAUGAUAAUGACAGUACCGGGAGAAUAAGCUCCGGCUAACUCCGUG